rfam:Arabis alpina cultivar Pajares scaff_65934_1_contig_12, whole genome shotgun sequence.
GGGUGCAAUCUUAUUAUCACUAAUGCACCGUCAGAACUCCGUAGUAAAAUGUGUUUCGACGAGAAUAGUAAUAGGAAGGGUGAUUUUCUGGGAAGUUUUUCUAUUGCAUUCC